UGGGGAAUUUUGGACAAUGGGGGCAACCCUGAUCCAGCAAUGCCGCGUGAGUGAAGAAGGCCUUCGGGUUGUAAAGCUCUUUUGUCAGGGAAGAAACGGUAGUAGCGAAUAACUAUUACUAAUGACGGUACCUGAAGAAUAAGCACCGGCUAACUACGUGCCAGCAGCCGCGGUAAUACGUAGGGUGCAAGCGUUAAUCGGAAUUACUGGGCGUAAAGCGUGCGCAGGCGGUUGUGUAAGUCAGAUGUGAAAUCCCCGGGCUCAACCUGGGAAUUGCAUUUGAGACUGCACGGCUAGAGUGUGUCAGAGGGGGGUAGAAUUCCACGUGUAGCAGUGAAAUGCGUAGAUAUGUGGAGGAAUACCGAUGGCGAAGGCAGCCCCCUGGGAUAACACUGACGCUCAUGCACGAAAGCGUGGGGAGCAAACAGGAUUAGAUACCCGCGUAGUCCUGAGCGGGCUGGCAAGGCGCAU
rnacentral:rRNA from 1 species